UUCAAAUAAAUUAAAACUUUUAGGUAGAAAAUUAGAUAUCUAUAUAAAAUUAAGAAGGGCGUUUAUUUAAUUAACGAAAUUUUUCGAGAAAUUUUUAUUAUUUUUAAAUAAUUAAAUAAAUAUAAUAUAUGGAUUCAAAAAUUCCCUAAUAUGUUAACUUUAAAAUUAAAAAAAACUUUUGCUAAAUCUAUAAGCAACUAAGAAGUAAAUAGAAAAAUUGAAAUAUCUUAAUAUUCUUUAAAAAAAAAUAUAUAAAAUUAAAAAAGAUUCUUAUAGUAUUUGUGAAUGAAAUAAGAAAUAAAUAGUCUAUACAAUAAUACAAUAAAUAAUAAUAAAUAAAAUAAAAUAAUAUAAUAAUAUAAAAAUAUAAAUAUAAGAUUAAAUAAAAUAUAUUUUUACCUUAGAUGGUAUAAGUCCAGUAGUCAAAAUAUUAUAUAUAUUAUAUAUUAUAUAUUUAUUAUAUUUAUUAUCAAUAUUUAUCAAUAUUUAUUAUAAAUUAUAUAUUAAAUUAUAUAUCAAUUAUCUUAAUUAGUAUAAGAUAGAUUAAUCUUGUAUGAAUUAGCAAGAUCCACCUUGCAAGACUAAACAUAUUUUAUAGAUAAUCGAUAGUGAAAAGUACUGUAAAGGAAUAUUGAAAAGAACCAUUUAAUUGGAGUGAAAUAGAAUAUAAAACCAUAAGUUUAUAACUAGUAGUAAGUUUUUUUAAUAUGAAUUUAAUGACUGCAUGCCUUUUGAAGAAUGAACCUUCAACUCAUUAAUAUUGACCUUAGUUUUUUUUUUACUUAUUUUAUAGCUUAUAGUGAAAGCAUGCAUUUUAAAAAUUCAAUUGUCAUUAUUUAUGAACCCGAAUCCAAGUGAUCUAUUCAUGGUUAGGAUGAAAUUUUUAUUUUUUUAAUUUAGGUCCGAACCAAUUGAUGUUGAAAAAUCAUUGGAUGAUCCAUGAUUAGAGGUGAAAUGCCAUUCGAACUUGGAGAUAGCUGGUUCUCCUCGAAAUGUGUUAAUGCACAACGGUUUAUUUAUUAAUUUUUUUUAGGGGUAAAGAAUUUUUUUGACAUAUAUUUUUUUAAUAAAAUUUAUAUUUAACUUAAAACAAAUUCAAAAUACUUAAAAAAUUUAUAAACUAGUGAGAUGAUGUGGGGAUAAGCUUCAUCAUCAAUAGGGAAACAGCCCAAAUUUUUUAUUAAGGUUCCAAAAUGAUCAUUUAUUUAUAUAAAGAAAGUAAAAAUAUAUAAACAUACAAAAGGUUUACUUAGAAGCAGUUAACCUUUAAAAAGUGCGUAAUUGCUUAUUGAUAUAAUGUUUUUGCAUCAAUUAUUAAUGGAUAUAAAUUAUCUGCCGAAAUUGUAAAAUAAAAUAUAAAAUAUAUGAAAUAAAAAAAUUCAUAAUUGAUAUUGAUAUAUAUUGGUAGAGGAGCGUUCUAUAUUUAUAUAUUUUUAUAAUUUUUAAUUAUAAAUAUAUUAAAAUAUAUUAAAGAAUUAAAAAAUAAUAAUAAUAUAAAUAAUAAUAAAUAAAUACAAAAGAUAAAUAAAGAAGUGAGAAUGAAGGUUUUAAUAACAUAAAUAUUGGUGAGAAUCCAAUUCUCUGAAAUUUUAAUGUUUCCUUUGAAAGGUUUUUCCACAUAAGGUUAAGUCAGAUCCUAAAAUAAUUUUAUUAAAGAAAAUAAUUGAUGGAAAACCGGUAAAUAUUCCUUUUUAUUGGUACUAUCUAUAAACUAAAAUAUAAAAAAAAUAUUUAUUUAUAUAUAUUGAUUUAAAUUAUAAAAGAAUAGUUUUAGGUUAAACGAAAAGUAGAAUUAUCGGUUAAAAAAACUUAAAAUUAUAUUUAUUUUAUUUUAAUUAAAUUUUAAAAUUAAAAUGAUGAAGAAAUAGUAGAGAAAAUACUAAUAAUUUAUGUUUUAAUAAUAUGUAUAUUAAAUUAAUAUACUAAAAAACCUAUAUCAUAUUUUCAUGAAAAUAAUUAAAAAAAAAUAAAGAUAAAAGAUAUCUGUACAUAAAACUAACACAGGUAACUAGGUAAAGAAUACUUAAGAGUCGAGAUAAUUUUUUUUAAGGAACUAGGCAAAAUAAUCCCAUAACUUUGGGAUAAGGGAUACUUAUAUUUUUUAUUGUGAGUUUCAGUAACUAGGUUUGAGCGACUGUUUAACAAAAACACAGGUCUCCGCUAAAUUGUAAAAUAAUGUAUGGGGGCUGAUGCCUGCCCAGUGCUGUUAAAGUUAAAAAAAAUUGGUAAUUUAACUAACUUUUUUUAAACUUACAUUAUAAGCUAAUAAUUUUAACUACAGUAAACGGCGGCUGUAACUAUAACGGUCCUAAGGUAGCGAAAUUCUUUGUCGGGUAAGUUCCGACCUGCAUGAAAGGUGUAACGACUUGGACACUGUCUUAAAAAAAAUCUUGGUAAAAUAAAAAUUUCUGUGAAGAUGCGGAAUUCUUUUACCUGGACAGAAAGACCCUAUGAAGCUUUACUAUUUUCUAAUAUUGAUUUUUAUUUUUGUUUAAUUUAAUAUUUAAGUGGAAAAAUUUAUUUUUUUUAACCACUAUUUAAUAUUUUAUAGUUUUAACUUAUUAUCAUAAUAAAUAAUUAAAUGAUAUUAAGGAUAUUUUAGAUAGAUAGUUUAUAUGGGACAUAGAUCUCCAAAAAUGUAAUGGGGGUGCAUUAAUGUUAUUUUUAAUCAUAUAUACAUAUAAAUUUAAAAUAAAAUGCAAAGAUAAAAAAAAGCUUGAUUGUAAAACUAACUUGUUGAACAGGAACGAAAGUUGAUCUUAGUGAUACGACAAUAAAUAAAUUAAAAUUAAAUUAAUAAACAACUAAGUGGAAAGUUUGUCGAUCAACGAAUAAAAGUUACUCUAGGGAUAACAGGCUUAUCUUACCCAAAAGUUCAUAUUGAAGGUAUGGUUUGGCACCUCGAUGUCGGCUCUUCGCUACCUGGAGCUGUAAAUGGUUCCAAAGGUAGGACUGUUCGUCCAUUAAAGCGGUACGUGAGCUGGGUUCAGAACGUCGUGAGACAGUUCGGUCCAUAUCCGGUAUUAGUAUAAGAAUAUUGAAGAUAUUUUUUUUUAGUACGAGAGGACCAAUAAAAAAUAUAUUUAUGGUGUAUCAUUUAUUGUACUUACAGUAAAAUGUUGAGUAGCUAAAUAUAUUUUAUAAUUGCUGAAAGAAUAUAAGUAAUAAGAUAAAUCUAAAAUAAAUAUUCA
rnacentral:rRNA from 1 species